rnacentral:lncRNA from 1 species
UAAACCUGUCACGGGAAAGCAGUGCUAAUCCUCCUGGUCCUCAAAGCCUACAAGAAAUCUAUUCUUAAUAGGUCUCUUGGUGCUUAUUCUAACUUCUAAAUAAAAAGGAGAAAAAUCACUAACUAUUGAUUACACUUUACCCGAAUUAAUAAUCUCUUUAAGUGAAUCCAUAAAUUUUAAAUACAUAAUUAAUGACAAAUUUAAAACUUAUAAAUAAUUUAUAAUUUUAUUAAAAUAUAAAAACUCAAUCUUAUAAGAAAAAUAAUAAAACUAGUUAAGGCACUUCAAACCCAUUUAAAGGAAGAAAUAGAGCCCAAGACAAAACAAUACAAAAGACUUGUUCAAUUUAAAUGAGCCCAAGUAAAUUAAAUGAAUAGAGCCCAUCAGAUAGAUGAAAUCAGCCCAACACACACUUUAAAAACUCGGCCCAUUAAAGAAAAAUCCAUCAGCUUUUGAAAAGAGCCCAAAACUUACAAAGAAAACCUAAAAAUCUAAAAUGAAAAGCCAAAAAUUCACUCUCUCUCUCCUCACACUCAUCAUCGGCUCCCUCUCUUCCCCUCUAUAUCCGCCACCCUCUCUCUCUCCCACAUGCAGCCACGCCGUCGCCCCUCUUCCCGGCGAGUCAUCGCCGGGAACCACCUCUGGCCGUAAGCCAUGUUUCUCUCCUCCUCCCAUCUGCCCCUCUCUCAACUCUCGUGUCCUCUCUCUCCAGUAGUCCAGUUGCUCUGCCAGUCCGCCCUUCCUCCCAAGCUCCACGCCGGCCGCCUGCUCCAGCUCCGGCGAAAUCUUCGCCGGAAACACCUCCCUCUGGUCGUCCCUCUCUCACCUCACUCAAAACUCUCUUUCUCUCUUCUUCCAGAACCACCUCUUCUUCUUCCUCCCAGAUCCAUCGCCGCCGCCGCCGCCUGCUUCAGCUCCGGCGAAAUCGCCGGAUCCGAGGCCUCCCUCACUCAUCGCCUCCCUCCUCUCGCGUUUCCGGCAGCGGACGGCCAAGAAGGGCCGCCGCCGCUGCUGCUCCGUUCACGCCGCGUUAGCGGCGCUUGGCCUUCGGCCGCGCCGCCCCAGCCUCGCCCACGACGUCGCCUCGCUUCGACUCCGUCUGUCUUGGCCGUGGGUGGCCGGCGGGCUGCUGCAACGCAUGCAGCGCCGGCAGCCGCGGCCUUGACAGCUCGGCGUCGAGCUCGGACAGCCCGUACCCUUCUCCCUCUCGUCUCUCACACUCAACAAGGCAACGAAAAGAAAAAAUCUCAGAUUUGAAAAGAUUUGAUUUUUGGGUGUUUUGAGUUUCUGAAAUAUUAAGUUAUAAGAAAGAGAAUUCAGUAGAAUGUGUUCUUGUGUGAGCAUAAAAAACAAUAAGAAAUGAUUUCGUGUACAGUCCUUGAGUUCUCUGAUAUGAGCUGGGUUUAUUCUCUAUGAUUCUUCUUCCUUUUCUUAACAACAUGGAUGAAAAUGUAGAAGAGAAAUUAUAAAUGUAUGGGGUUUGAGGUAACCUUGUGUGGAGUUGUUCUUGAAGGCGUUGCUGGAGUUGUUUGAGAGUUUCUUGAUUUACUGAGUAUGGUUGAAAACAGCUGCAGAGAUUGGAGAGUGCAGGGAUUGGAGUGGAGUGUGUGGAUGGCUUGUGGGUUAGGAGCAUACUUAAAUGAAGGUGGAGGGAGGUUGCGUGUAGGAUGAAUUGGCAAGAUUUGGAUUGCAGAAUUUUUGGGAAAAUGAGAGAUUUG